rnacentral:rRNA from 1 species
AGCGAACGCUGGCGGCGUACCUAACACAUGCAAGUCGAACGGGGAUCAUCGGGUUGGUGACAAUUCGGUGGUUCUAGUGGCGCACGGGUGAGUAACACGUGGGUAACCUGCCCUCGAGUCUGGGAUACCCCCUCGAAGGGGGGCUAAUACCGGAUACGAAGUAGAGCUGCAUGGCUACUACUUGGAAAGUUUUUCGGUCUGGGAUGGACUCGCGGCCUAUCAGCUUGUUGGUGAGGUAACGGCUCACGAAGGCGACGACGGGUAGCCGGCCUGAGAGGGCGACCGGCCACACUGGGACUGAGACACGGCCCAGACUCCUACGGGAGGCAGCAGUGGGGAAUAUUGCACAAUGGGCGAAAGCCUGAUGCAGCGACGCCGCGUGAGGGAUGACGGCCUUCGGGUUGUAAACCUCUUUCAGCAGGGAAGAAGCGAAAGUGACGGUACCUGCAGAAGAAGCACCGGCUAACUACGUGCCAGCCGCCGCCGUAACAC